rnacentral:rRNA from 1 species
ACAUCCUGCGGGAGGCAGCAGUGGGGAAUAUUGCACAAUGGGCGCAAGCCUGAUGCAGCCAUGCCGCGUGUAUGAAGAAGGCCUUCGGGUUGUAAAGUACUUUCAGCGGGGAGGAAGGCGAUAAGGUUAAUAACCUUGUUGAUUGACGUUACCCGCAGAAGAAGCACCGGCUAACUCCGUGCCAGCAGCCGCGGUAAUACGGAGGGUGCAAGCGUUAAUCGGAAUUACUGGGCGUAAAGCGCACGCAGGCGGUCUGUCAAGUCGGAUGUGAAAUCCCCGGGCUCAACCUGGGAACUGCAUUCGAAACUGGCAGGCUAGAGUCUUGUAGAGGGGGGUAGAAUUCCAGGUGUAGCGGUGAAAUGCGUAGAGAUCUGGAGGAAUACCGGUGGCGAAGGCGGCCCCCUGGACAAAGACUGACGCUCAGGUGCGAAAGCGUGGGGAGCAAACAGGAUUAGAAACCCCUGUAGUCCCAUGA